GCGUCGGAUGCCAAGCUGCCGGAUAUGCAAGCCGGGUGGGAACAGAUGUGUUCGAACGUCAUGGCCGGCCUUUCGGGCCUGAACAUGGUGUAUGAGGCCG
rfam:Ruegeria sp. ANG-R contig_1, whole genome shotgun sequence.